rnacentral:rRNA from 1 species
AUUAGAUAAAAAACCAAUGCCCUUCGGGGCUCCUUGGUGAUUCAUAAUAACUUAACGAAUCGCAUGGCCUUGCGCCGGCGAUGGUUCAUUCAAAUUUCUGCCCUAUCAACUUUCGAUAGUAAGAUAGUGGCUUACCAUGGUCUCAACGGGUAACGGGGAAUUAGGGUUCUAUUCCGGAGAGGGAGCCUGAGAAACGGCUACCACAUCCAAGGAAGGCAGCAGGCGCGCAAAUUACCCAAUCCCAAUUCGGGGAGCUAGUGACAAUAAAUACUGAUACGGGGCUCUUUCGGGUCUCGUAAUUGGAAUGAGUACAAUCUAAAUCCCUUAACGAGGAACAAUUGGAGGGCAAGUCUGGUGCCGGCAGCCGCGGUAAUUCCAGCUCCAAUAGCGUAUAUUAAAGUUGUUGCCGUUAAAAAGCUCGUAGUUGAACCUUGGACCUGGCUGAUCUGUCCUCCUAAUCGAGCGCACGGAUUCGGUCGGGUCUUUCCUUCUGGGGAGCCCUAUGCCCUUCACUGGG